rnacentral:rRNA from 2 species
GGAGCUUGCUCCCUGAGAUUAGCGGCGGACGGGUGAGUAACACGUGGGCAACCUGCCUAUAAGACUGGGAUAACUUCGGGAAACCGGAGCUAAUACCGGAUACGUUCUUUUCUCGCAUGAGAGAAGAUGGAAAGACGGUUUACGCUGUCACUUAUAGAUGGGCCCGCGGCGCAUUAGCUAGUUGGUGAGGUAAUGGCUCACCAAGGCGACGAUGCGUAGCCGACCUGAGAGGGUGAUCGGCCACACUGGGACUGAGACACGGCCCAGACUCCUACGGGAGGCAGCAGUAGGGAAUCUUCCGCAAUGGACGAAAGUCUGACGGAGCAACGCCGCGUGAACGAAGAAGGCCUUCGGGUCGUAAAGUUCUGUUGUUAGGGAAGAACAAGUACCAGAGUAACUGCUGGUACCUUGACGGUACCUAACCAGAAAGCCACGGCUAACUACGUGCCAGCAGCCGCGGUAAUACGUAGGUGGCAAGCGUUGUCCGGAAUUAUUGGGCGUAAAGCGCGCGCAGGUGGUUCCUUAAGUCUGAUG